CUAGCGACUUCAGAGUUUGAUCCUGGCUCAGGAUGAACGCUGGCGGCGUGCUUAACACAUGCAAGUCGAACGGAAGUUUUAAAUGGAAGUUUUCGGAUGGAAAUUUAAAACUUUAGUGGCGGACGGGUGAGUAACGCGUGGGUAACCUGCCGUAUACAGGGGGAGUAACACUUAGAAAUAGGUGCUAAUACCGCAUAAGCGCACAGUAUCGCAUGAUACAGUGUGAAAAGCCUUGACGGUAUACGAUGGACCCGCGUCUGAUUAGCUAGUUGGUGAGGUAGAGGCUCACCAAGGCGACGAUCAGUAGCCGGCCUGAGAGGGUGACCGGCCACAUUGGGACUGAGACACGGCCCAA
rnacentral:rRNA from 1 species